rnacentral:rRNA from 1 species
GACGAACGCUGGCGGUGCGCCUUAUGCAUGCAAGUCGAGCGAAGCUUUUCAGUAGUUUACUACAGAAAAUGACUGAGCGGCGAACGGGUGAGUAACGCGUGAGCAAUCUACCUUAGUUACAGGGAUAGCCCGAGGAAACUCGGAUUAAUACCUGAUAUUCUUUAUUUCUCGCAUGAGAAUAAAAGGAAAGGUCAGCCGAACUAAGAUGAGCUCGCGUUCUAUCAGCUAGUUGGUGAGGUAAAAGCUCACCAAGGCUACGACGGAUAGCUGGUCUGAGAGGACGAUCAGCCACACUGGGACUGAGACACGGCCCAGACUCCUACGGGAGGCUGCAGCAGGGAAUAUUGCGCAAUGAGCGAAAGCUUGACGCAGCGACACCGCGUGUGGGAUGACGGAUCAAAGUUUGUAAACCACUUUCAGGAGGAGAAGAAAAUGACGGUACCUCCNCAAGAAGCCCAGNCCANCUNCCCCUAUAG